ACAGCUGGAAACGGCUGCUAAUACCGAUACGUUCUUUUCAUCGCAUGGUGAGAAGAAAGAAAAGGAACGGCCUCUACACAAAGCGGUCGCCGAAGGAGGGGUUUGCGUCUGAUUAGCUAGUUGGAGGGGUAACGGCCCAACAAGGCGACGAUCAGUAGCCCGGUCCUGAGAGGAUGAACGGCCACAUUGGGACUGAGACACGGCCCAGACUCCUACGGGAGGCAGCAGUGGGGAAUCUUCCGCAAUGGACGAAAGUCUGACGGAGCAACGCCGCGUGAGUGAAGACGGUCUUCGGAUUGUAAAGCUCUGUUAUACGGGACGAACGGCAAGGUGGUAAAUAGCCAUCAUGAGUGACGGUACCGUAAGAGAAAGCCACGGCUAACUACGUGCCAGCAGCCGCGGUAAU
rnacentral:rRNA from 1 species